rnacentral:lncRNA from 1 species
GGUUCAUGAUUGACUUUGUUUGUCUGUUAACCAAUCAAUCAAACAUUUCCUAGAAAUUGCUUUAUUUAAGAGCCGAAAUCAUCUCUGGCAACAAGAAAGGGUUCUCACACAUCUUUAUUAGAUUGCAAAUAGCGAUUUUGAGACAUAUUUCUGUGUGUGUGUGUGGGGGUUCGGACCCAGAAACUUUCAGCGGGCAGUCAAUCCUGCCCUGAUAUCAUUUUAGUUAAAGCAUACUUAUGCUUUGUACGCACGGAUAGUAGCCUUUCCAUAACAAAUUCAGGCUUAAUGCCCAUAAAACAGGGUCAAUGUGAUCUCCAUAUAAUGUAAUUAAGAAACCUUGAGGGACCUUAUAUGAUUAACUUCUGAAAGUGCAUCACGGCAGCCUUCAUAGAAAUGACGCCGGCAGAGGCACCAUGAGCCAAUUUAGUAAACACUGACUGUUAAUGUCAUCUCGGCACUGCUAUGGCAGCAGCUGCAAGUGUGUGUGUGUGUGUGUGUGUGUGUGUGUGUGUGUGUGUGUGUGUGUGUGUGUGUGUGUGUGUGUGUGUGUGUGUGUGUGUGUGUGUGUGGUCUGACACUGUUUGAGCAAGCUAGUAUGAUGACAAAAAAUGCAUUACAUUAACAUAAAUUAAAUGACAUGUACAAUUAUACAUAGGCUAAAGGAUUAAAUUACAAGUUAUAACAUAUUAAUCUUAGUAUACCAUAACAAGUUAAUGAUCUGGUAUUAUUUUAUGGUACACACAACCUGUGUUAGAUCGAUAACCAUCACGCACAUAUUCUUUAUGUUCUGUUUUUUUUUCUGUAAGUGUUAUGUUCUUUGCUUUUGUAACAUGAUCGUUAUACUUACACAUACUGCUAAGCUAUAAACCAAACUCAAACAUUCCCCACGUCUUCUGCGGUGAGCCACUCGGGCACUAACAGGGGGUCCCGGCGAAAAGCUGAUUAUUAUUUUUCUUGGCCCGAUCCGUAUCUUGAAGUGGGCGUGGCCUGGCAUCACAGAUCAGUCGCUCGGCGGGACGCGGCUCGGUGUGUUUCCGGCUGCGGUGUGUUUCCGGCUGGCGGUUCUUUGUCCUCCAUUACUCGGAUUCCGCUCGUCGCUACAGCGCAGAACCCGGACAGCGCAGCCGCUCUGAGGGAGCGCUGGGAGGAUGGAUGUGUACUGGGGGCACACUAAGAACGGGUCCGACCUGGUGGGAGCGCUGGGAGGAUGGAUGCUGGGAUUUCACCAAGUGAUCAUGUGCGGAAUAAGAUAUCCCAAUGUCAAACCCUACAUUGUGAUGCG